UACGUAGGGUGCGAGCGUUAAUCGGAAUUACUGGGCGUAAAGCGUGCGCAGGCGGUUUGUUAAGACAGAUGUGAAAUCCCCGGGCUUAACCUGGGAACUGCAUUUGUGACUGGCAAGCUAGAGUAUGGCAGAGGGGGGUAGAAUUCCACGUGUAGCAGUGAAAUGCGUAGAGAUGUGGAGGAAUACCGAUGGCGAAGGCAGCCCCCUGGGCCAAUACUGACGCUCAUGCACCGAAAGCGUGGGGAGCAAACGAGGAUUAGAGUACC
rnacentral:rRNA from 1 species